ACGGGGCUAAGCGAUCUGCCGAAGCUGUGGGAUGUCAAAAUGCAUCGGUAGGGGAGCGUUCCGCCUUAGAGGGAAGCAACCGCGAAAGCGGGGGUCGACGAAGCGGAAGCGAGAAUGUCGGCUUGAGUAACGAAAACAUUGGGUAGAAUCCAAUGCCCCGAAAACCCAAGGUUUCCUCCGCAAGGUUCGUCCACGGAGGG
rnacentral:ncRNA from 1 species